rnacentral:rRNA from 1 species
UACGGAGGGUGCAAGCGUUAAUCGGAAUUACUGGGCGUAAAGCGCACGCAGGUGGCUGAGUCAGUCGAUUGUGAAAGCCCUGGGCUUAACCUGGGAAUUGCAGUCGAUACUACUUAGCUAGAGUAUGGGAGAGGGCAGUGGAAUUCCCGGUGUAGCGGUGAAAUGCGUAGAUAUCGGGAGGAACAUCAGUGGCGAAGGCGGCCCUCUGGUCCAGUACUGACACUCAAGUGCGAAAGCGUGGGGAGCAAACAGG